AUUGAACGCUGGCGGCAUGCUUUACACAUGCAAGUCGAACGGCAGCGCGGGCUUCGGCCUGGCGGCGAGUGGCGAACGGGUGAGUAAUGCAUCGGAACGUGCCCAGUAGUGGGGGAUAGCCCGGCGAAAGCCGGAUUAAUACCGCAUACGACCUGAGGGUGAAAGCGGGGGACCGAAAGGCCUCGCGCUAUUGGAGCGGCCGAUGUCGGAUUAGCUAGUUGGUGGGGUAAAGGCUUACCAAGGCGACGAUCCGUAGCUGGUCUGAGAGGACGACCAGCCGCACUGGGACUGAGACACGGCCCAGACUCCUACGGGAGGCAGCAGUGGGGAAUUUUGGACAAUGGGGGCAACCCUGAUCCAGCCAUGCCGCGUGCGGGAAGAAGGCCUUCGGGUUGUAAACCGCUUUUGUUCGGGAAGAAAUCCUCUGGGCUAAUACCCCGGGGGGAUGACGGUACCGGAAGAAUAAGCACCGGCUAACUACGU
rnacentral:rRNA from 1 species